rnacentral:rRNA from 1 species
AGCUUACUCUAGCCCAACCAUACUGCACAAGCAGCAAUAGCAAAAAUUCACUUUACCACCUAACUAAAACAUUCUUUAAACUUAGUAUAGGCGAUAGAAAAGGGACCCCCCCCCCGGCGCGAUAGAAAUUUUGUACCGUAAGGGAAAGAUGAAAUAACAAUGAAAAACCAAGCAGUAAACAGCAAAGAUUCACCCUUGUACCUUUUGCAUCAUGAUUUAGCGAGAACAACCAAGCAAAAUGAAUUUAAGCUUGCCCUCCCGAAACCCAAGCGAGCUACUUACAAGCAGCUAUCCCUGAGCGAACCCGUCUCUGUUGCAAAAGAGUGGGAUGACUUGCUAGUAGAGGUGAAAAGCCUACCGAGCUGGGUGAUAGCUGGUUGCCUGUGAAAUGAAUCUUAGUUCCCUCCUGACCCCUCUUCCCCGGACACAAACCCUAGCCCGCAUGUAGUGAGUCAAGAGCAAUUUAAAGGAGGUACAGCUCCUUUAAAAAAGAAUACAACCUCCACUAGCGGAUAACCACCCAACUUCCUCCCUUAUUGUAGGCCUUCAAGCAGCCAUCAAUAAAGAGUGCGUCAAAGCUCCACACACAAAAAUUCAACAACAACAUGACUCCCUUUCCACCAACGGGCUAACCUAUGUUAAUAGGAGCAUCAAUGCUAAAAUGAGUAACUAGGGCUACCCCCUCAAUUAAGCGCAAACUUACAUCUCCACAUUAUUAACAGAUAUGGACAAUACCCCAAUUAAAACAAGACUAAAGUAUUAACCCACCCUGUUACCCCGACUCAGGAGCGCGUAUUUAGAAAGAUUAAAAUCUGUAAAAGGAACUAGGCAAACACAAGGCCCGACUGUUUACCAAAAACAUAGCCUUCAGCCCACCAAGUAUUGAAGGUGAUGCCUGCCCAGUGACAUAACGUUUAACGGCCGCGGUAUCCUAACCGUGCAAAGGUAGCGCAAUCAAUUGUCCCAUA